rnacentral:hammerhead_ribozyme from 15 species
UUUCAGUCCGGAAUCAGCUGAACUGAAGCAGCCUUCACUGAUGAGGCAACGGAAAUUGCCGAAACUGACC